CACCGGGAACAAUUUCCACUCGUCUGCACCUUUUUUGCCCACCUUGGUGCGCAAGUCACCUUGAUCAGUAAGGUGUGUCAACGUGCACAGAACGGGUACAGAAGAAUUAUUCUCAGUCCCUGAGCCUCUUUCCUGGAAUUUUUUUUUUUGUCAACUUUUCUCCAAAAUACAUAGAAAGACAUGAAAGCAAAACUGGGUUUGGAUCCUUGGACAUGUUCAGUUUUUUUGUUCUUUUUCUUUCUUUGUCUUUAGUGAAUUAUUGCAUGAUCUGUCCUGUAAAAUCAGAAUGUGAACCUUCUAUAUUGUUUUAUAAUUAAAAGUCUAUACCUAUAUAUUUAUGAGCAA